rnacentral:lncRNA from 1 species
GUGAGAUGCUCAACGAAGAGGCCCAUGAGGCAGGGCACCGAGGGAGGCUUCUGGCCAACAGCUCCUGGGGAACCAAGGCCUUAGGAAGUGAGUCCUGCCAACAAUAACGAGAGCCUUGAACUUUGAAACCACAGUACCUUGUUCCAGCGUGGAAAGCAGCGUGGCACUUCCCGGUGGUGAAAGCACCCCAGCUUGAAAGGGGGUCAGCCAGGAGUGGAUCUGGAAGCUGGAGAACUCUCAAUACGCCACUUCAGUUUAUUGACGACAUUUAUAAUUGCAACCGAAGUUGACUGAUUUCUGCUAAAUGAAAGUUUGCGCUUUGCCCUUUAGCAUUGAGGCUCCUGGAAAGAACUUCAAUGAAAUUGGAUGCAUUGAGACCAAAGAAAAGAAGGGGACAUUUUUAUCUCUCUGAUACCUUUCUCCCCAGGGCUUGGAAACACUUCUUAAACACAACCUCUAAUGUUGGUGUUUUGUAAGUACUACCCCUAUGAAUAAAG